CAUGUUUAUAACUUGUAUAUAUCCUUUAUGGUGAAAAUCAAAUUAACGUCCAUCUCUUAAAAUCUGACGCUUGACGAGCGCAUUACAGUCAUUUCCACCACACUCGCCACAUGGAAUAGUCACCCAUGGCUAUACGCCUGCCCAAUACUUAAAAUCUUUGACUGACACUAUUUCCUUUGGAAAUCAACACAAUAGAUGCUCAUUAGUUGGCACUUCACUCUCGAGCUUGUCAAAGAUCCAGUUACAAGUGGUGUGUAUGCAGUAUAUUUUGAUCCCAGCACACCUGCCUAAGUUUCCAUGGAAACCAAGCUCACCUGUUGGAAGUAACUCGCUGCGACACAAUGCAGGAAUGUCAAGGACACAACUUUCUCAGGACUACACAACACAGCAAGAGAAUUUUUACUGCUGUCUGGGUUAACUCUCAAAGGACAAAACAGAUGAAUAAAUUCUUCUGUACCUACACAGAAGUUGAUUCGUUAAAAGCCUCCAUCUAGCUGAGGGCCCCAGAGCUGGUACAGAAGUGAUGGGUAUUGAUGAAAAAACGUAUCUAGGGGCAGGGGCUUUAAAUGUGCUGGGUAGGGGUGGGGUAGGGAUG